rnacentral:lncRNA from 7 species
GAUUUCUGCAUUAAUGAAUUGAGAAGAUGACAUCAGGCUCUUAGUUCAGACAGUGAAGCAGGGAAUCAGUGAUUUGCACAUCUCCGACUGUAUACAACCUCUCUACCAAACCAACCAAAAUGGAAGAACUGGAAUGUAUCAUGCCUUGUGCGCUUUCCUUCAUUUUGCAGAGACCUCAGCUUAUAUAACCCAUCUACGCAACCCUUGCUGCCUACCACUUAGUCUACAUCCUCUGCUGCAUAAUGCAUAGGCACAUGGAAGCUGAUGAAUGGAAGACUUCAUCAUUUACUGAAGUUAAGCUAUCCUGGUACUGUCACUGAACAGAAAGUACUUCAAAAUGUAUAUCCAGCAUUUUAUCACAUGGAUUUACUACAAAGUACCUCACAACAAAUUCCUUACUGUUGCAGAAACCCAAGGUCAUUACUUACCUUCUCCACUGGCUGACUUUUCUCACCAGUUUUUCCCUCUUUAAUACAUGAAGAUUGCUGUAUGUGAAGUGGAGAAAUUUAUCAUUUAAACAUUAACAGAUUCUUAGCUUGCACACGGAAUACUUUUAAUAUGUGUACACUGACACCUCUAGCAUAUUUUUGGAAUAGUAAAAAUUAAUGUAAAGGAACAUUGCAAUCAUAAAAAACUGUUCCUAAAGAGUGGAUUUUAAAACUUACUUUUCUGGCAAAAGAGAUUCUGAAGGAUUUAAUUCCUCCACCUUAAAAACAGAAAAUAUCUCAGUGGGAAAUUUUUCUUUCCAAUCUACUGUAGUUCAGUAUGUUUGGAGAGAAGUUUUGAUAUCACAUUUUGUAGAAACAAGAUCCAAAAUAAUUCAAAUGUUGAUGCCUUGCUGCAGAAUAAACAUGGUUAGUGGUGUGUU